AGGAGACGGUGCAGGUGGAGGAGGAAGAGACGAGACGGUGCAGGAGAUGGUAGAAGAGACCAUCAAAACAAAAGCGACAAAGGAAGCACCAGCUCCUAUUACUGGUGCUCUAUCUGCUGCCAAGAGAACUCCUGUGCCCAUCAAGGUGUGCAGGAUGUGACAAGGGGCAUCAGGCCAAACAGCAGGCACUUAAGUCAACCAGCACAGCCAAAGACUUACUUGCCAGUGACUGCAGAGAUGAGUGUGCAAGAGGUCAAGGUACCCAACACAUUACAUCCAAAAGACAAGGAGAGCUGAGGUGAAAGUUGCCGUAGCAAUGGUUCAACACAAUGUCCCGUUUGCUGUGGCUGACUAUUUCAGCCCCUUGUACAGGGAGUGUUUCAAAGACCCUCCCACAGCUCAAAAUUUCAAGAGUGCCAGCACAAAAACGAUGUGCAUCAUUAAUGAAGCAGUUGCACCACAUUACAGGAAUGAGCUGGUGAUGAAGAUGAGGGAAAAUCCCUUUACACUGCUCACAGAUGGCUCAAAUGACACAGAUCUCUGGAUUUGACACUGAGGACCUUGUAGUGGAUAUUGGAUACUGGUUUAAGGGCAGCACAAACCAUAAAG